rnacentral:rRNA from 1 species
GAUGAACGCUGGCGGCGUGCCUAAUACAUGCAAGUCGAGCGAACGGACGAGAAGCUUGCUUCUCUGCUGUUAGCGGCGGACGGGUGAGUAACACGUGGAUAACCUACCUAUAAUACUGGGAUAACUUCGGGAAACCGUAGCUAAUACCGGCUAAUAUUUUGAACCGCAUGGUUCAAAAGUGAAAGACGGUCUUGCUGUCACUUAUAGAUGGAUCCGCACUGCAUUAGCUAGUUGGUAAGGUAACGGCUUACCAAGGCAACGUUGCAUAGCCGACCUGAGAGGUGAUCCGGCCCACUGGAACUGAGAAACGGUCCAGACUCCUACGGGAGGCAGCAGUAGGGAAUCUUCCGCAAUGGGCGCAAGCCUGACGGAGCAACGCCGCGUGAGUGAUGAAGGUCUUCGGAUCGUAAAACCCUGUUAUUAGGGAAGAACAUAUGUGUAAGUAACUGUGCACAUCUUGACGGUACCUAAUCAGAAAGCCACGGCUAACUACGUG